rnacentral:rRNA from 1 species
CAGGAUGAACGCUGGCGGUAUGCUUAACACAUGCAAGUCGAACGGGCUCUUCGGAGCUAGUGGCGGACGGGUGAGUAACGCGUGAGGAUCUGCCUACAGGACUGGGACAACAGCUGGAAACGGCUGCUAAAACCGGAUGUGCCGAGAGGUGAAAUAUUUAUAGCCUGUAGAUGAGCUCGCGUCUGAUUAGCUAGUUGGUGAGGUAAGGGCUCACCAAGGCGACGAUCAGUAGCUGGUCUGAGAGGACGAUCAGCCACACUGGGACUGAGACACGGCCCAGACUCCUACGGGAGGCAGCAGUGGGGAAUUUUCCGCAAUGGGCGCAAGCCUGACGGAGCAAUACCGCGUGAGGGAGGAAGGUCUGUGGAUUGUAAACCUCUUUUGAUAGGGAAGAAGUUCUGACGGUACCUAUCGAAUCAGCAUCGGCUAACUCCGUGCCAGCAGCCGCGGUAAUACGGAGGAUGCAAGCGUUAUCCGGAUUUAUUGGGCGUAAAGCGUCCGUAGGUGGUUAUUCAAGUCUAUUGUCAAAGCCUGGGGCUUAACCCUGGAGAGGCGGUGGAAACUGAAUAACUAGAGUGCGGUAGGGGCAGAGGGAAUU